rnacentral:rRNA from 1 species
GCCCGCUCAAGAAACUACAAAGGAAUUGGACGGGGGCCCGCACAAGCGGUGGAGCAUGUGGUUUAAUUCGAAGCAACGCGAAGAACCUUACCAGGCCUUGACAUGCAGAGAACUUUCCAGAGAUGGAUUGGUGCCUUCGGGAACUCUGACACAGGUGCUGCGUGGCUGUCGUCAGCUCGUGUCGUGAGAUGUUGGGUUAAGUCCCGUAACGAGCGCAACCCUUGUCCUUAGUUACCAGCACGUUAUGGUGGGCACUCUAAGGAGACUGCCGGCGACAAGCCGGAGGAGGGUGGGGACGACGUCAAGUCAUCAUGGCCCUCAUGUCCAGGGCGACACACGUGCUACAAUGGCCGGCACAACGGGAAGCGACGGCGCGAGUCGUAGCGGAUCCCUCAAAGCCGGUCCCAGUUCGGAUUGCAGUCUGCAACUCGACUGCAUGAAGCCGGAAUCGCUAGUAAUCGUGGAUCAGCCAAGCCGCGGUGAAUACGUUCCCGGGCCUU